rnacentral:lncRNA from 1 species
GGAGCACACACAGGUCAGGAAGGUGACACUUUGUACUGUCUGGAGACGUUUGAUGCUGUCACAACUGGCGGAGGGGACCAGCGUUACUGCUGUUAACUGGAAUGUGACAACACAAAGAACAGCCUCUCAACCCCACAGAAUUACCUUGUUCAAAGCAUCACUUCUGAGCUUCAGAAGCUUUAGUCGAAGCGUGGACCAGGUCUUCACGGCUGUGGGUCCGGGCUCAGUCCCAUAAGAUGGAAGGCUAGCAAGUGGCAGAGAAGUCAGAAGGAAACAAUACAGAGUCAGUGGGCUCUGGGACACUGC